rnacentral:rRNA from 1 species
GAUAACUCCGAGAAAUCGGAGCUAAUACCGGAUAGUUCAUCGGACCGCAUGGUCCGYUGAUGAAAGGCGCUCCGGCGUCACCUUGAGAUGGCCUUGCGGUGCAUUAGCUAGUUGGUGGGGUAACGGCYCACCAAGGCGACGAUGCAUAGCCGACCUGAGAGGGUGAUCGGCC